AUACUCACCUGGCAGAGGAGACACCAUGAUCAGGCAGGUGGUUUUCCCAGGGCAAGGCUCACCCACUGCAUUCAGGGUGUGCUGACCCUUGUGAUUUCCCCAAAUGCAGGAAACUUGACUGCAUAAUUUGUUGUAAUAGGGGACUGCAUUUACUCUCUCCCCUG